rnacentral:rRNA from 1 species
UACGUAGGGUCCGAGCGUUGUCCGGAGUUACUGGGCGUAAAGCGCGCGCAGGCGGCUCGUCAAGUCUGGCGUGAAAGCCCCCGGCUCAACCGGGGAGGGUCGUCGGAGACUGGCGAGCUUGAGGGCGGUAGGGGCUGGUGGAAUUCCCGGUGUAGUGGUGAAAUGCGUAGAGAUCGGGAGGAACACCCGUGGCGAAGGCGGCCAGCUGGGCCGUCCCUGACGCUGAGGCGCGAAAGCGUGGGGAGCAAACAGGAUUGAGAA